AAGUUUGAUCCUGGCUCAGAUUGAACGCUGGCGGUAUGCUUUACACAUGCAAGUCGAACGGAUUAAGAAGCUUGCUUUUUAGUUAGUGGCGAACGGGUGAGUAAUAUAUCGGAACAUAUCCGGAAGUGGGGGAUAACGUAGCGAAAGUUACGCUAAUACCGCAUAUGCCCUGAGGGGGAAAGGGGGGGAUCGCAGACCUCUCGCUUUCGGAGUGGCCGAUAUCGGAUUAGCUAGUAGGUGAGGUAAAGGCUCACCUAGGCGACGAUCCGUAGCGGGUCUGAGAGGACGACCCGCCACACUGGAACUGAGACGCGGUCCAGACUCCUACGGGAGGCAGCAGUGGGGAAUUUUGGACAAUGGGCGAAAGCCUGAUCCAGCCAUACCGCGUGAGUGAAGAAGGCCUUCGGGUUGUAAAGCUCUUUCACCGGAAAGAAAUCGUAUCUAUUAAUACUAGAUGCGGAUGACGGUACCGGAAGAAGAAGCACCGGCUAACUACGUGCCAGCAGCCGCGGUAAA
rnacentral:rRNA from 1 species